rnacentral:rRNA from 1 species
CCCUUAGUAACUGCGAGUGAACAGGGAAUAGCCCAGCACCGAAGCCUGCGGUUAUUUGACUGCAAGGCAAUGUGGUGUUUAGGUUGGUUCCUGGCAUUACUGCUCUGCCCCAAGUCCAGCAAUGAGUACGGCAUACCGUUCUGGCCCAAAGAGGGUGAAAGGCCCGUGGGGGUAGAGACCAAGCAUGACAGUUCUGUCCAGAGCUAACCUUGGAGUCGGGUUGUUUGAGAAUGCAGCCCAAAGUGGGUGGUAAACUCCAUCCAAGGCUAAAUACUUACACGAGUCCGAUAGUAAACAAGUACCGUGAGGGAAAGUUGAAAAGUACUUUGAAGAGAGAGUAAACAGUGCGUGAAACCGCUCAGAGGUAAACGGGUGGAGUUGAACUGCGAUCCUUGGGAAUUCAGCUGAUGAGCAUGAUUUGUGCUUGGGCAUAUUGGCCGCCUUUCAGUGUCUGUCUAAUUACAGGUGCCUGCCUAUAGGUAGGUAUGUGUGGUGCGCUUAUCAUGUGCUGCACGCAUUGGAGGGUGUAUGGGUCUGCUUGUCAGUGCACUUUCUCAGGGUGUUCACCACGACCGGCACUGCUGUCUGUCUGCUGUAGUCAAACUGAUCAGGCCUGAUUAACGUUGGGCUUGGUUGGGUUGGUAGUUGAAUUUCUGGCCGACUAUAGUGGAUCUGUACGGUGUGUCGGAGACUGCGGCUAUAUAUAUGUGCUCUGUCCUUCAGGCGGGGUUGAGUCUGGUCGACUUGUUGCUGGUUUCGGCCGGUCAGUUGAUGGCUUGAUCCUGUUCAGCUGGCAGUUGCUUGUGUUUUAAUUUUGGCCAACAGUCUGUGGUGUUGUGGUAGACUAUCCACCUGACCCGUCUUGAAACACGGACCAAGGAGUUUAACAUGUGCGCGAGUCAUUGGGUAUUACGAAUCCCAAAGGCGUAGUGAAGGUAAAGGUUCGGCUUGUCCGGACUAAGGUGAGAUCCUGUUGUUUUGCUCUUUAACUCCAAGUCGCGAGCAGCAGGCGCAUCACCGGCCCGUCCCAUGACGUAGACAUGUGGCCUUGUGCUAUGUGCACCGUCGGGGCGGAGCAAGAGCGUACAUGUUGAGACCCGAAAGAUGGUGAACUAUGCUUGCGAAGGUUGAAGCCAGAGGAAACUCUGGUGGAGGACCGUAGCGAUUCUGACGUGCAAAUCGAUCGUAUAACGUGAGUAUAGGGGCGAAAGACU